UACGGAGGGGGCUAGCGUUGCUCGGAAUCACUGGGCGUAAAGGGUGCGUAGGCGGGUCUUUAAGUCAGGGGGGAAAUCCUGGAGCUCAACUCCAGAACUGCCUUUGAUACUGAAGAUCUUGAGUCCGGGAGAGGUGAGUGGAACUGCGAGUGUAGAGGUGAAAUUCGUAGAUAUUCGCAAGAACACCAGUGGCGAAGGCGGCUCACUGGCCCGGUACUGACGCUGAGGCACGAAAGCGUGGGGAGCAAACAGG
rnacentral:rRNA from 1 species